rnacentral:rRNA from 1 species
UUGAACGCUGGCGGCAUGCCUUACACAUGCAAGUCGAACGGUAGAGGGGCAACCCUUGAGAGUGGCGAACGGGUGAGUAAUGCAUCGGAACGUGCCCAGUCGUGGGGAUAACGCAGCGAAAGCUGUGCUAAUACCGCAUGUGAUCUGUGGAUGAAAGCAGGGGACCGCAAGGCCUUGUGCGAUUGGAGCGGCCGAUGUCAGAUUAGCUAGUUGGUAGGGUAAAAGACC